rnacentral:rRNA from 1 species
GGUCAAGUGAAGAAGCGCAUACGGUGGAUGCCUUGGCAGUCAGAGGCGAUGAAAGACGUGGUAGCCUGCGAAAAGCUUCGGGGAGUCGGCAAACAGACUUUGAUCCGGAGAUGUCUGAAUGGGGGAACCCAGCCAUCAUAAGAUGGUUAUCUUGUACUGAAUACAUAGGUGCAAGAGGCGAACCAGGGGAACUGAAACAUCUAAGUACCCUGAGGAAAAGAAAUCAACCGAGAUUCCCUUAGUAGUGGCGAGCGAACGGGGACUAGCCCUUAAGUGGCUUUGAGAUUAGCGGAACGCUCUGGAAAGUGCGGCCAUAGUGGGUGAUAGCCCUGUACGCGAAAAUCUCUUAGUCAUGAAAUCGAGUAGGACGGAGCACGAGAAACUUUGUCUGAAUAUGGGGGGACCAUCCUCCAAGGCUAAAUACUACUGACUGACCGAUAGUGAACUAGUACCGUGAGGGAAAGGCGAAAAGAACCCCGGAGAGGGGAGUGAAAUAGAUCCUGAAACCGUAUGCGUACAAGCAGUGGGAGCAGACUUUGUUCUGUGACUGCGUACCUUUUGUAUAAUGGGUCAGCGACUUAUUUUCAGUGGCGAGCUUAACCGAAUAGGGGAGGCGUAGCGAAAGCGAGUCUUAAUAGGGCGUCUAGUCGCUGGGAAUAGACCCGAAACCGGGCGAUCUAUCCAUGGGCAGGUUGAAGGUUGGGUAACACUAACUGGAGGACCGAACCGACUACCGUUGAAAAGUUAGCGGAUGACCUGUGGAUCGGAGUGAAAGGCUAAUCAAGCUCGGAGAUAGCUGGUUCUCCUCGAAAGCUAUUUAGGUAGCGCCUCAUGUAUCACUGUAGGGGGUAGAGCACUGUUUCGGCUAGGGGGUCAUCCCGACUUACCAAACCGAUGCAAACUCCGAAUACCUACAAGUGCCGAGCAUGGGAGACACACGGCGGGUGCUAACGUCCGUCGUGAAAAGGGAAACAACCCAGACCGUCAGCUAAGGUCCCAAAGUUAUGGUUAAGUGGGAAACGAUGUGGGAAGGCUUAGACAGCUAGGAGGUUGGCUUAGAAGCAGCCACCCUUUAAAGAAAGCGUAAUAGCUCACUAGUCGAGUCGGCCUGCGCGGAAGAUGUAACGGGGCUCAAACCAUACACCGAAGCUACGGGUAUCACGUAAGUGAUGCGGUAGAGGAGCGUUCUGUAAGCCUGUGAAGGUGAGUUGAGAAGCUUGCUGGAGGUAUCAGAAGUGCGAAUGCUGACAUGAGUAACGACAAUGGGUGUGAAAAACACCCACGCCGAAAGACCAAGGUUUCCUGCGCAACGUUAAUCGACGCAGGGUUAGUCGGUCCCUAAGGCGAGGCUGAAAAGCGUAGUCGAUGGAAAACAGGUUAAUAUUCCUGUACUUCUGGUUAUUGCGAUGGAGGGACGGAGAAGGCUAGGCCAGCUUGGCGUUGGUUGUCCAAGUUUAAGGUGGUAGGCUG